AACGCGCUUUUAUAGAGUACCGGAACGCUAAUUUGCACUUUUUUUUUUAUUUCCCGCCCCGGCCUGCGCACCUGUGACUCGCGGCGCGCAGGGGGGAAGGGAAGUAUCUGUGCACUUUUCUGUGCGUGCGCACACAGCGUCCCCCUGCAUAUCCCUUCGUGUCACCCUCACCCUGCGGCCCUGUCACCUGUGCCACUGUACUGAUGAGUCCCCCUCCCCCAGCGGCGCAGUGAGUGCCCUGCCGGAGCCCUGACUUGGUGCCCUGCCAAGAGGGGAGGAAAGAGGAAGCUCCGCCGGAUUCCUGUGCCAGUGUAGUGAAGAGAAAUGGCUUAAGGUUUAACUGUGAAGAAUUGUGACUGAAAGAAACAGUGAUGAUGGCCGGACCAGAUGGAGAAGAGAACAACACUGAUUAGAGAAGACGUAAUUUAGAGAGGGUGUGGAGUCUGAUCACUGUAUCUGGAAAUCAAAUUAGGCUGCUGGUGCUGGAGGUCACCCAGGUGAACUGAUGAGACUCAUAGGGAUGUUUUUGACCACAAAAAUCAGCAAUUUUGGAGUUUGGAAUUCUUUUUUUUGUAAUGACGCGGUUGACCAUGCACAUGGGUUCAUCAUUUAAAAGUUUGGACAAUUCCACACAAGGUG